ACUGAAAAUAUAUUACUUGUUGAGUAUACCACCAAAAUUUCACAAUUCUACAAGUCGAUUGUAGAACCGGGCUGAAUCCAUCAGUCGUUCAGGCGAGAGUAAUACAGAUACAAAACUGGGAUUUUAGUGACAGAUUGGUGAAUGCCAAUUUUAUAUGCUGGGAAAGUUUCACAUUGUUGGCUUCAACAGGUAUUUUUGCAGGAGUUUUCAAACAUGUGGUAAAUUUCAUGGAGACAUUGCUUCAUUUUCUGAAGUGCUCAUUUAGUGGAAAGCAAUCUGCCUAGUUUUAAAAAUGAAUAAUGCAUUGCUUCGAAAUGCAUCUACGCACAUACGCGAGACGCAUUUAGAUUGAACAAAUCAUGGUUCCCCCAGCUAGGUCAACCGAAUUUAGAACCCAUGAACGUUGAAGUGCGGUAGAUCGCAACCACGCCAAAUGCAAUCUAUUGGCAUCAACGUGAAAUCGGGUUUGUUCCAGUGAAACUUUCACAUUGCCAACAAUUAGACGCGGUUUUUCUGAUAGGAAAUCGCCGAAUAACUGAUAAGGGAUUAGGCAACUGGCCAUAAAAUUAAGCCAAAGUUCAACGAAUGCGAGUGUUUAGCCGCUGAGCAGUGAAAUUGCCAAAAGCUGUUGUUUGCAAGGAAAUUUCCUGAAAACUUUGUUCAGAACAAUAAAUAACAUUGUUCGCUGAUAAAUGAAAGUAAUUGAAUUGAAAUUCGAUUUAUCAGCCACUCACUUUGUAACCGGGCUGAUUUACAACCAGCAUUGGACAAAAAACGCUAUUAUUAAUAAUUAAUAUGCAGGCCAAAGUACCACUUGGUCUGCUUUUGCUCAUCAGCCAUCAAUUGAUCGGCUUCCAAGGAAAUUUUACGACUAUGCGGGCUGAGUUUGAGGGGGCCAAAGUCCUCAAGCAAUAAAAAUAUAAUUAGUAACUAUUCGGUUUCCGUUUGUGUCACACAGCGGGUACUUUGGGUCGAGGUACAAAAAAUGAACCCAACAACCUGAAGCGCAUUUUAAGCUGUUUCCCCACUUAUAAAGCCUUGAAGAUUUCACUUUUUUCCACGAGGGGAAAACAAUAAACUUGUAGAUAUGCAAAGGUCACCUUUGCUCCAACGAGCCUCACCAGCCCCCAUUCACUUGGUCAGAGCGUGAACAAAACUCUUCAUUUAUCACUAGUUGAAAUUUGAAUUUGCCAAACAAUCGCUGACCUUAGAUCAUGAAAUUUUGGCUUACUUAACGAACGAACACGAGGAAGGUAAACCAUCAAUAAAUAUGUAUCAUUAAGCCCCAGUUUAUCAUAAUGAAUGUCAUGCAAAACAAUGAAUUAUAUUAAAUUGUUGCCAGUGA